GCACAGCACAUUGCCAUCUUCCAAGUUUCUCAAUCAUGGGACGCCCAUAUAUGGUCCCACGCUAACCUGGUUCUUUGUAGGUAUACCACACAAUCUUGACGAUCACGAUGAUCAUCACCUGACGGGACCUUAGUUGGCAACUCUGAACUGGGAAAAUGUCAGCUUCUCAAUUGAAGAAAUAUGGCCAUUUCUAUAAGCUAGUAGUGCCUUCCAUUCUACAACAAAAUAAGCUGAGGAUCCCAAAGAAGUUUGUUAGGAAAUUUGGAGACGAACUAUCAGGUGUUGCUACACUCACUGUUCCAGAUGAUAGAAUAUGGCUUGUGACACUAAGACAAAUUGACCAGAAGUUAUGGUUUUAUAACGGUUGGCAUGAAUUUGUAGUGCACUACUCGAUCUGCACCGGCCAUUUCUUGGUCUUCAGAAAUGAAGGAAAUUCAAAUUUCAGUGUUCAUAUGUAUGUUCUGGCACCUUAUCAGACAAAAGAUCCAUUCCGCAUGACAAAGACUAUAAAGGAUUAUGGCAAGCAGCAUUAUGUGCUUGAUGAAAUAGAUGAUGAUGAUUCUGUUGAAAUAUUGGAUUCUCCUCUUAUACGUUUUGCUUCUGAUAUUUCGAAACUCAAGACGUUCGAUAAACAUGUGGAGCCAAAAACAACAUGCGAAAACUACAAUCUCCCAUCACUUCAGAAUUUGCAUAAUGAAGCAAGCCACCAUCCAUCAGGUGAUUCUAUUAAAUUACGAUCACCAGUUCAAUGUACUCAAGGUAUGCGUGUUUGCAUUAAUGAAGCUUCGAAAUUCUACAGAUGAUGUGAGAUUGGAACUGUUACAUGAAGAAAUAAAAGAAAUUGAGAAAACUAAGAGAAAGAAGCUGAAAAUUGAUGAAGAAAACCAUCACCCUUCAAGUGCUGCUGAUAUAGCAAAGAGGUCAAGGGAGAGUGAAAAUUCUCCUGAAUCAGCAAGAAAGCUUCAAAAAGUUGGAAGGAAGGAGCAGAAAGUUGAUCCUAAUAAGCAGCAGCCAACAGCUCAACAUAGAGUUGAAGUUGAAAGCCGCUCUAGAUAUUAUUAUAAAACAGCUUCUGUGAAAAAGAGAACUUAACAAAUGAGGAUCAAAAAAGGGUGAAAACCGCAGCCACAGCAUUCGAGUCUGUUAACCCUUUCUGUGGGGUUGUCCUGCGUCCAUCAUAUAUAUAUACAGAGGUUGCACCCUUCAUUUGCCAUCCUGCUUUGCCAAAAAGCAUCUAAAUGGGUUUUCAAGCUGGAUUAAACUUCAGUCUUUUGAUGGGAAACAGUGGCCUGUCCGAUGCAUUCAUAGAGCUGGUAGUGCUAAACUAAGCCGGGGAUGGUAUGAAUUCUCAGUGAAGAAUGAUUUUGGGGAAGGGGAUGUUUGUGUGUUUGAGCUGCUUAGCCUGAGGGAUAUUGUGCUGAAAGUUACAGUGUUUCGUGUUUUUUAAUGACAAGGUAGACAGACUAUGAUGACUGGCAAAAUCUGAUGAAUUAAGAAACUUUGACCAA